rnacentral:rRNA from 1 species
UAGAGUUUGAUCAUGGCUCAGAUUGAACGCUGGCGGUAUGCUUAACACAUGCAAGUCGAACGGAAACGAUACUAGCUUGCUAGUAGGCGUCGAGUGGCGGACGGGUGAGUAACGCGUAGGAAUCUGCCUGAUAGUGGGGGAUAGCCCGAAGAAAUUCGGAUUAAUACCGCAUAAUCUAUUCGUAGUAAAGUGGGGGACUUUCGAGCCUCACGCUAUCAGAUGAGCCUGCGUAAGAUUAGCUUGUUGGUGGGGUAAAAGCCCACCAAGGCGACGAUCUUUAGCUGGUCUGAGAGGAUGAUCAGCCACAUCGGGACUGAGACACGGCCCGAACUCCUACGGGAGGCAGCAGUGGGGAAUAUUGGACAAUGGGGGCAACCCUGAUCCAGCAAUACCGCGUGUGAAGAAGGCCUGAGGGUUGUAAAGCACUUUCAAUUGUGAA